GAUGAAGAACGUAGCGAAAUGCGAUAAGUAAUGUGAAUUGCAGAAUUCAGUGAAUCAUCGAAUCUUUGAACGCACCUUGCGCCCUUUGGCUAUUCUGAAGGGCAUGCCUGUUUGAGUAUCGUGAACACCUCAACUCUCAUGGUCUGCCAUGAUGAGCUUGGACUUUGGGGGUCUUGCUGGCCUACUGUCAGCUCCUCUCAAAUGAAUCAGCUUACCAGUGUUUGGUGGCACCACAGGUGUGAUAACUAUCUACGCUUGUGGUUUUCUGCCAGGUAACCUCCAGUGAUGGAGGUUCGCUGGAGCUCACAAAUGUCUCUCCACAGCGAGGACAGCUUUUUGAACGUUUGAUCUCAAAUCAGGUAGGACUACCCGCUGAACUUAAGCAUAUCAAUAAGCGGGGA
rnacentral:misc_RNA from 1 species